GCUUCCACAGAACCCUGACCUACGGGAGGCAGCAGUGGGGAAUAUUGCACAAUGGGGGCAAGCCUGAUGCAGCCAUGCCGCGUGUAUGAAGAAGGCCUUCGGGUUGUAAAGUACUUCAGCGGGGAGGAAGCGCGGUCAUACGGGAGCCAGCAGCCGCGGAAUACGAGCCAGCGCGACGG
rnacentral:rRNA from 1 species